GCAGAAAGAUUUAAUUUGGGCAACUUUGAUUCUUAAGAGAAAACAAAGCAUGUGAAUAAACAUUGAAGUGUUUGCCUCAGUUUGGGACCAAACUGCUUGGAUCUUUGUAGAAACCGGUUUUGUAUGUCACGGAGGAGUUUAAGGCCUUUCUGACCACCCUGUGUUCCCCUUUCUGCACAGCCAUGUGUCACGUGGAGUUGCUCCCAGCCUCCCCUUGCACCCUGCUCUUGUCUGGUUUCUCCUGGGCUGGGCUCCCAUUGUCCACCAGCAGCCACUGUCCUCCACUUUGUAGUCCUGCUGGUCCUCAGCAAAGGGAGGGAACUGGAGGGCAGUUUCUGGUCUGUUUUCUAAGAAACUUCUGAAUUCUAUUAUCUUUACAAAUAUAAGAUGAGAAAAUAAUUUUUUCAAUAUUUUUAUUGAUCUUUUUAUAAAAUGAAAAGAAACUCCUAUGAUCGAUUAAGGAUGGUGGUUAUGGCUGGGUGGUUUGUGGGGUUGUGUGUUUUUGGUUUGUUUGUUUGUUUUAACCUUAAAUUUGAGUUGAAACGCUUUCAGAUGUUUGAGGGGGAACAUCCUCAUAAAAGGGUCCUUGUGCUUGCCUUCCGGGGAGGCGGUCCCGAGCAGGUGAACACAGCAUAUGGUCUCUGUGCACAUGGUCUCUGUGCAUGUGGUCUCUGUGCACGUGGUCUAUGCCGACUGCAACUCCUCUUCCCCCAGUCUUUGCUCGUGGGUUGUUACUACUUCCCCUUACUUUGCUAAUUUCUAUAGUUAAGUUGGUUUUACUUGAAUGAUUCAUGUUUAGGGAAGAAAAGAAAAACACCCUUAAGUUAUUGUUUCAACUCCUCCUGCAAAUAAAAACAAUAAAUGAAAAAAAAAA